rnacentral:rRNA from 1 species
GAUGAACGCUGGCGGCGUGCCUAAUACAUGCAAGUCGAGCGAACGGACGAGAAGCUUGCUUCUCUGACGUUAGCGGCGGACGGGUGAGUAACACGUGGAUAACCUACCUAUAAGACUGGGAUAACUUCGGGAAACCGGAGCUAAUACCGGAUAAUAUUUUGAACCGCAUGGUUCAAUAGUGAAAGACGGUUUUGCUGUCACUUAUAGAUGGAUCCGCGCUGCAUUAGCUAGUUGGUAAGGUAACGGCUUACCAAGGCAACGAUGCAUAGCCGACCUGAGAGGGUGAUCGGCCACACUGGAACUGAGACACGGUCCAGACUCCUACGGGAGGCAGCAGUAGGGAAUCUUCCGCAAUGGGCGAAAGCUUGACGGAGCAACGCCGCGUGAGUGAUGAAGGUCUUCGGAUCGUAAAACUCUGUUAUUAGGGAAGAACAUAUGUGUAAGUAACUGUGCACGUCUUGACGGUACCUAAUCAGAAAGCCACGGCUAACUACGUG